ensembl:lincRNA
AUGCACCCCAUUGAUUGGAUGUCUCCAUCCGGCCUGGCCCACCACUAUAUCCAGGGUUUGCAAGACUGUGAUCUCUGCAACUAUUUGUUUAUCGUUCAUGGCAGUCAGGGGUGCCUAAGGAAUGCUACACAUAUGACUGAGGGGAAGCAGAUGAAGAGUGGAUGCAAGGUGCCAGCUUUUGCUUUGUCUUCAGCCAGCCUCCUGCUCCCUCAUCACCUCCCCAAAUAAAUAAAGCAGGGACACUACAGAAGUCUCAUUUCCAUGCUACAGAGGAGGACACUGAAAACCAAGAAAAAAGUGGCUUAAUUUAGUUAGCAAUAAAUUAGAAUAUGAGGCAAAAUUGAAAUAUUUAGCUCCUCCAUUUAUAUUUCAUUGAAAAUUUUGAGUGAAAAAAACAAUUGGGGAUGAUGAGAAUUUUUCAUGUUGAUUCUGAUAGAGACUUAACUGCUUACAUUUAUCAAAACACACUGAACUGUAAGUUAAAUGAGUAAAUUUUAGUGCAUCUAAAUCACACCUCAAUAAAGUUGAUUAUAAAAACAAAAACCAAACCCUAAUUUGCUCUACAACCUGGUCCCCCUGAUCCUAGAUGUUUCAUAAAAUAAAAAUUAUUUCAACUCAUUAACACACUAUUGCUUCCUCUCCAAAAUAGUGGCUUCAAUCCUAACUUGCACGUUGGAUGAGAGACUAUAAUCACAUCAAUAAGAGAAAGGAUAAAAACCAUAUGACCGGUUAAGAUGAUGGAGUAGUAGGGGGAUCUUAAACUUGCCUUGUCCUUCAAAUACAACUAGAUCGACAUUUAGCUAUUUUGAACAUGUAGGAAAAGAACAGAGGAUUAGGGAUACAAUCUGCAGAGUUGGGAGUGAGAGAACUUGGCAGAUGUGAAGCUUGAGGUUAGGAGCCCUGAACUGGGGGAUAAGAAACCCCAUGGCAAGGAGGGAGAGGAAACCCAUUUCAAGGAGUAAAGUCAGGAAGAGGAAGAAAGUGGGAAAUAGUGAAUUGGGUUGUGACACACAAUAAGCCAGGGCAAGGAGAUUCCCAGGUUGGCCAAAGAAAGAUCACUUAUCAGUGGGUUAAGCCGCUGCCUUUGGCUCAGGUCAUGAUCCCAGGGUCCUGGAAUCGAGCCCCUCUGCUCAGCGGGGAGCCUGCUUCCUUCUCUCUCUCUGCCUGCCUCUCUGCCUGCUUGUGAUCUCUCUCUCUCUCUGUCAAAUAAAUAAAUAAAAUCUUUAAAAAAAAAAAAAAAAGAAAAGAAAGAUCACUUCCUUCCUGGGGAGCAUUUAGAGAAUGUAUUUCUCCUCUCCAAAAGACAAAAGGCCAGUUGGAAAGCCAUUGAGUGGUGCUUAGCGGGUCAGAGGUUGGAGCAGAGGUCUGAAAGCCUCUAAAUUUUUCCCUCUGAGCGGCAAUAGGCUUAAAUCUCUGUGUGCCUGAUGACAGGCUGCUUUUCAGGGCUGAACUGAGCAGAGUGCAGAGGGGGGAGCAGAUUGCAGAUAACCUAGCUGCCGGUUUUGCUGUCUGCCACAAUAGAUUCAAGCCACAGAGUUGACAGCGCAGAUGGCUAAUAACCUGGAUCCAGCUUUUUGCUGAGCAUUACAAUAAACUAGACACACAUACACUGUGCAUUGGCUUUUCCAAACAGCUGGUGCUGGGCACGCCCUGAGCCUCUCCACCAGGGGUCGGGAGUGGGCCAAUACAUUACCAGGCCCUAUAAAACUUGGGGGUUUUGAAUCCCAGCCACUGGAAAAGAUAAAAUGCUCUGGCAGAGCCAACCACCAAGGCAUAAACAGGUCAAGGCUAGGAACUGAUGAAAGCUGGGACACAGCAGAUUGUUUGCUUUUCUAAGAGGGCCUCCUAAAGAGCAAUGGCUGGGAGUUCCACUCCCCAGGGACAAGAGGGUGAGAUAACACUGUAUUCUACCUCACCACCAUCCUUCCCUCCUCCCAUUGAUCCUUCCUCCCACCCACAGUCAGAAUCCAGAGAGAAACACUGCCUCCAUAGAGGCUGAAGUCCCCUUAUACUACACCCUGACCACCUGGCCUGGCAGGAGCAUCUUUACAAGGGCAACACAGCUUGUGAGCCUACACAGCAGGGCUCUCUUUCAGAUGACCAACACAGGCCCCGUAUCUCCUAAGUCUCCUGAUUGAAGAAAGCUUCAAAACAUCAGCUUCUGGUGGAAAUAAAACCAGGCUUGCUUCCUUUAUUUUCUUCAUCUCUUUUCCUUAUUUUUAAUUUUUUUUACAUUUUUAAUUUUUCUAUUUUCUAUUUUUUAUUCUUUAUCCUUUACUUUAUAGAUACUUUUUUUUCUUUUUUUUUUUGUAUGAGGUAUGUAAUCUUUUAUUUGUUGGUUCACGUGUAUCCUCUCAAAUUUUGAACCAGGCUUUUUUAUUUUUUAACUUUUUUUUUUUUUUGGAUCAAACAUAUGUUGUUCAUUUGUUGGUUUGUUUGUUUCAUUCUCUUAGCUUUUGGACCAUGAUGCUUUUUUUUUUUUUAAUUUUUAAUUUUUUUCUUUUCUCUCUUCUUUCUCUAUUCUUCUCUCCCAGUUUCUUUUUUUUUUCUUUUUUCUUUUUUGAAUAAGGCUUAAUUUAUUGUUUGUAAAUUUGUAUUCAUAUUUCUUCCAUUUCUUUUUCUUAUUUUGGAUCAGACUAUUUUUUUGUCUUGUUUUGUUUUGUUUUUUCUACUUUUCUAUUUUCCUUUACAGGCCUAAUUUCACAAGUAAAUCAGAGCACACCUACUUAAAGAUCCAAACACUCACCCACUACAGGCAAGCAGAAACUGCAGAAGAAGGAAAGAGCAGCUAGAAACACUUUCUGAAUUUGUUGUAUUGCUAAUAUUAUUGCUGUUUUUUCUUAUUUUUUCUUUUAAAAAAAAUUUUUUAAAGAUUUUAUUUAUUUGACAGAGACACAGCACAAGAGGGAACAGAAGCAGGGAGAGUGGGAGAGGGAGAAACAAGCUUCCUGCUGAGCAGGGAGUACAAUGCAGGGCUCAAUCCCAGGACCCUGGUAUCAUGACCCAAGCCAAAGGCAGACACUUAACAACUGAGCCACCCAGACACCCUUAUUCUUUUCUUUCUUUAUUUAUUUCUUACUUUUUCCUCCUUUCUUUUCUGAACAUGAGGUCUAGAAAGAGAAAUUCACAAGAAAAAAGAACUAAUAGAGGUAGC